UACCAGCACCCCGAGUGGUCGAGACGAUUAUUGGGCCUAAAGCAUCCGUAGCCGGUUUUACAAGUCCUCCGUUAAAUCCAGCUGCUUAACAGAUGGGCUGCGGAGGAUACUAUAAGACUAGGAGGCAGGAGAGGCAAGCGGUACUCAGUGGGUAGGGGUAAAAAUCCGUUGAUCCAUUGAAGACCACCAGUGGCGAAAGGCGGCUCGCCAGAAUGCGCUCGACGGUGAGGGAUGAAAGCUGGGGGAGCAAACCGG
rnacentral:rRNA from 1 species